GGGGUAUGCUUCUUCGGGAGCAGAGACCGGCGCACGGGUGCGUAACGCGUAUGCAAUCUACCUUUUACAGAGGGAUAGACCAGAGAAAUUUGGAUUAAUACCUCAUAGUAUGCAGAGUUGGCAUCAACCCUGCAUUAAAGUCACAACGGUAAAAGAUGAGCAUGCGUCCCAUUAGCUAGUUGGUAAGGUAACGGCUUACCAAGGCUACGAUGGGUAGGGGUCCUGAGAGGGAGAUCCCCCACACUGGUACUGAGACACGGACCAGACUCCUACGGGAGGCAGCAGUGAGGAAUAUUGGACAAUGGGCGCAAGCCUGAUCCAGCCAUGCCGCGUGCAGGAUGACGGUCCUAUGGAUUGUAAACUGCUUUUAUACAGGAAGAAACACUCCGACGUGUCGGAGCUUGACGGUACUGUAAGAAUAAGGAUCGGCUAACUCCGUGCCAGCAGCCGCGGUAAUACGGAGGAUCCAAGCGUUAUCCGGAAUCAUUGGGUUUAAAGGGUCCGUAGGCGGUUUAAUAAGUCAGUGGUGAAAGCCCAUCGCUCAACGGUGGAACGGCCAUUGAUACUGUUAGACUUGAAUUAUU
rnacentral:rRNA from 1 species